rnacentral:rRNA from 1 species
UGGGGAAUAUUGCACAAUGGAGGGAUCUCUGAUGCAGCGACGCCGCGUGAGUGAUGAAGGAAUUCGUUUCGUAAAACUCUGUUCUAUGGGAAGAAAAGGACUGUACCAUAGGAGAAAGCUCCGGCUAAAUACGUGCCAGCAGCCGCGGUAAUACGUAUGGAGCGAGCGUUGUCCGGAAUUAUUGGGCGUAAAGGGUGCGCAGGCGGCUUUACAAGUUGGAUGUGAAAUAUUGUGGCUCAACCACAAACGUGCAUCCAAAACUGCAAAGCUUGAGUUAAGGAGAGGUAAGUGGAAUUCCUGGUGUAGCGGUGGAAUGCGUAGAUAUCAGGAGGAAUACCGGUGGCGAAGGCGACUUACUGGACUUAAACUGACGCUCAGGCACGAAAGCGUGGGGAGCAAACAGG